CACAGAUACGCGGAAAAGCCGUCCGUUUCGGCUGAAGUGUCCUUGAGCAAGAUAGCUGCACUUCUACGAGCUGCAGGUUUUCUGUGCGCCCUCGGACACUCCUGGUGUACCUAAUCUGAAUACAUCCAUGUUACACAUCCCCGGAGGACUCACCCGUCUCUCGUGCCGUCCAUGGCAGCCAGCGGGGACAGGUGGUGAGGGCUGCCGAGGUCCCGGUCCAGUCGGUGCUGUCGGGAGGGCAGCAUCCACGAGGAGAGCAGCGCGCUGACUGUCUGGGGCAGUUAACCAGCGACGAGAGGAGAAGACAGAAGGAGAUGAAAGGACGAGAAAAGAUCGGUGCUCCUGGUUUUGCCGUUUCCAGGCCCAGCUGUUCUCAAGUGGAAGCAUGCCGAGGCCUGAUCUGACAGCACUCUGAAAUGGUUACAAGCUUGAUUCAUUACCCCCAAAUCAUCAAUCACAGACCUUAAAUGUUUUCCCCUUUAGCCCCAACAUCUGCUACAAGACCAGCAAAACAGUCGACAAAUAAUGGCUGUGAUUGCCUCAAUUUCAUUGCUAGUUCCUUGUGGAGGGAGAGAGAGAGGAUCUGGUGGCACUCUUUAAGGGUUAGUAGGGGAUUACAUUCUGAAGAUGUUGUGGAUUGGCUCUGAAAUGCUUCUGGUUGAGUUCAGGAAGAUAUCUCUGUGUGAGCGGUAUAUCAGCCAUUCAGCGUAACAGCAGGAGCAUGUAAACCUCUGCACUAAAACUAUGAUGAGUCCUUCCUAUGGUUAAUCAGAGAACACUCUAAUUAUGCUCUAUAAAACAGAGAGGGGCUUCUCGUAAGUCUUGCUGCAGCCAUGUGAAUAAGAGCAGACUUAUAACCGGCGAACAGGAAAACAAGUUUAGCUCUGACUGGAAGCAUGACUCAUUUUCUGCUUCACAAGUGUUAAUGAUGGGAUGGUUGCCCACUUUGCCCCACCUUUUCCAUGCAUCCUAUUGGCCCUGGAACAAAGUGAAACUCAUGUAAAUAGGGAUCCUGCAUGCCAACCUGCAACAUCUUUGCUGGCCUCAAAUAACACUGCAUCCCUGAACGCUUUGGCAUCGGCUCACGAGUGAGCUCCUCCGGGCUUUAAAACAUUUAAAACAAGAGAGUAAGCAACGUCCACUCAGAAACAGAGGGAGGGCGAGGGGAAAAAGCCAAGACUCAGAGGCCUGGUUCAACAUUCAAAGACAAGUUGAGCGUUCACAGUCGUCAACGGUGCGCUGGAGUUCCAGCAACAACAACAGAAAGCAACGGGGAGCCUGGAUGGGGUACAGGCAGAAAACAAGGACAGAUGUGUCCAUAAACUGAGGAAGCUGCGGGGCAUCUCUCUUGUCUUUAAAAUUGUUAUAAUCAUUUAUUUAUCUCUCUCUUGUUCCAAAUCCAAAGUAGUGUUGACAUUUGGUGACGGUCAAAUUCAUCAAUUAGAAAAAUUUAAGUUUAAAGGCCACAUGUGAUGAAUAAAAUUUUCUGUUUGUAGCUGUUAGUAAUGGUUUUUGCAGUCUUUGCAUGACAAGAUGACAGGUUAACAUGAUAUGGUUAUGAAACACAAACCAAAUAAAAGUGCACGAUUGUAACAUUUCCUUCUAAACUUAAAUAUCCAAGUAGAGUCCAACAGCUAAAAUGUUUAUAUAAAAUGUGUAUAAGCAAUUAAAGAUAAAUUAUAGUGGUGUAAUUUGUUUAUGUUUGACCAAGGGCGCCAUAACUAUGAUUUUUACUGCCUGAAAGCACAAAAUUACCAUAAUACAUCUGCAGAAAUGUCGACAUGGCUGUUGAUUACCACCAAUGACUCGGUGAUUGCUUUGCCAGGUGUUGGGAUUUCUGGCGGUCAGACCUCACUUGCUGGCCUGUUCUUCUGUUUUGGAACAAAUACUCCCUGGCCAUCAAUAUUUUGAGACAUGGCCAGCCUCUUGUAUUCACAUUUUGAAUUGCUCAACCACAGAGAAUGGUGCUACUACUGUUGUCAAAUUACACGUUGUAUUGCACUCAUGAGGUGUUACUCAUUAAAAUGUUUAUCUGAGGAAUCUAAUGCUAUAAUUAA